GACAGAGGUGCCAAGCGUUAGGCGGAAUCACUGGGCUUAAAGCGUGUGUAGGCGGAGUGCUAAGUACCUUGUGAAAUCCCACGGCUCAACCGUGGAACUGCUGGGUAUACUGGUUCUCUUGAGCGACCCAGGGGCGAGCGGAACAAACGGUGGAGCGGUGAAAUGCGUAGAUAAUCGUUUGGAACGCCAAAAGGUGAAAACAGCUCGCUGGGGGUCUGCUGACGCUG
rnacentral:rRNA from 1 species